rnacentral:rRNA from 1 species
CGCUGGCGGCGUGCUUAAUACAUGCAAGUCGAGCGAGAAAGUACCCUUCGGGGUGCGAGUACAGCGGCGAACGGGUGAGUAACACGUAAGAAAUCUACCUCUAAGUCGGGGACAACCUUGCUAACGCGGGGCUAAUACCGGAUGUGGAUUGCUUUACUCAUGUUUUGCAAUCUAAAGAUGACCUCUACUUGUAAGUUGUUGCCUAGAGAUGAUCUCGCGGACCAUUAGUUUGUUGGUGGGGUAACGGCCUACCAAGACGAUGAUGGUUAGCCGGCCUGAGAGGGUGAGCGGCCACAUUGGGACUGAGAUACGGCCCAGACUCCUACGGGAGGCAGCAGUAGGGAAUUUUGCGCAAUGGACGAAAGUCUGACGCAGCAACGCCGCGUGAGGGAUGAAAGUCUUCGGAUUGUAAACCUCUGUUGAGUAGGACGAAAAGCCAGUCGGUUAAUAUCCGGCAGGUCUGACGGUACUGCUCGAGGAAGCCCCGGCUAAAUACGUGCCAGCAGCCGCGGUAAUACGUAUGGGGCAAGCGUUGUUCGGAAUCACUGGGCGUAAAGGGAGCGCAGGCGGAAAGGUAAGUUAGAGGUGUAAUCUUCGGGCUCAACCCGGAGUUUGCCUUUAAUACUGCUUUUCUUGAGUAUUGGAGAGGAAAACGGAAUUCCAGGUGUAGCGGUGGAAUGCGUAGAUAUCUGGAAGAACACCAGUAGCGAAGGCGGUUUUCUGGCCAAAUACUGACGCUGAGGCUCGAAAGCGUGGGGAGCGAACAGGAUUAGAUACCCUGGUAGUCCACGCCGUAAACGAUGGACACUAGAUGUUGGGGGCUUAUGCCUUCAGUGUCGUAGCUAACGCGUUAAGUGUCCCGCCUGGGGAGUACGCUCGCAAGGGUGAAACUCAAAGGAAUUGACGGGGGCCCGCACAAGCGGUGGAGCAUGUGCUUUAAUUCGAUGCAACGCGAAGAACCUUACCUGGACUUGACAUGUGAGUGUAACAUUUUAGAGAUAGAAUGCCUUCCUUCGGGAACACUCAACACAGGUGCUGCAUGGUUGUCGUCAGCUCGUGUCGUGAGAUGUUGGGUUAAGUCCCGCAACGAGCGCAACCCUCGUCCUUAGUUGCCAUCAGGUAAUGCUGGGAACUCUAAGGAGACUGCCUGGUAUAACCAGGAGGAAGGUGGGGAUGACGUCAAAUCCUCAUGGCCCUUACGUCCAGGGCUAGACACGUGCUACAAUGGCCGGUACAGAAGGAUGCUAAGUCGCGAGGCUGAGCUAAUCCAUGAAAACCGGUCUCAGUUCGGAUAGGAGUCUGCAAUGCGACUCCUUGAAGUUGGAAUCGCUAGUAAUCGCGGAUCAGCAUGCCGCGGUGAAUAUGUUCCCGGGCCUUGUACACACCGCCCGUCAAGCCACGAAAGAUGGCAGUGCCCAAAGUCGUUUCUCUAACCUUCGGGAGGAGAGCGCCUAAGGUAAGGCUGA